AUGAUCUCCUUCAUGUUGUCCUCCCUGGUGCACGUGAUGAUGCUCAUCUGCUUCUCCCCCGAGCUCUGCCGCGCGCUCGCGAUGAACUCCCUCGCCGUCAGCGUCCUGCGUGCAUGCAUGCGUUCACCGUCUGUUGGCGAUUCAUGUCCGGAACAAGCUAUGCAGCGAGUGAAAUUUGUACCUGUAGUGUCCGGCGGACUCGGAGGCCGUGAGGAGGUGCUUGACGUCCUUGAUCAUGAUGCUGCCCACGGGCUUGCCGGCGCCGUCCACCACGGGGAUGCCGCCGACGCCGCGCCGCCUCAUCUGCCGGAACGCCUUGAGCGCCGGCUCGUCCUCGCAGACCUUGACCAGCCGGCUCGUCUUCAUGAGGGGGAGGCCCAGCUCGGCCAGCGUCUUGGUGCCCCAGUCCUCGAACCAGCUCAGCCCCACGCACUCGGCCAGCAUGUGCACCACCGCCGCCUGCGUCACCAUGUUGCUGAUGGUGCCCUCGCCGAUGUCCACCACGGGGAGGCUCUUCAUCCGGUACUUGGACAGCAGCAGCAGCAUGGUGAGGAACGUGUCCGAGCUCUGCAGCGCCAGGAACGGCGCCCACCGGAACGACCCGGAGAUGUCCUUCACCUUGGUCUUCCGGAACAGCUCCGACGACGGCAGCGACCCGAACGCCUCCGCCACCGCGCCCUCCGCCUCCGUGGCCGCCUUCAGCUCCCUCGCGCCGCCGCCACCGCCGCCGCUGCCCCCGUCGAGGGUCACCGUGCCGAGCUUGGCGGCCAGCUCGUCGGCGCCCAGCGCGGCGGCCGACGCCGAGGCCUCCGACCGGUGCAGCAGCCAGACGGCGAUCCCGGCGAACUCCACGAUGCCGAUGUAGCGGUCGAUCCAGCUCGCGUCCUCGGGCGCCUCCACGUUGCGCACGGGCGCGCCGUUGAUCCGGUUCCGGGAGAGGAUGUCGACGGCCUCGGCCAGCGUGGCGUCGGAGGGGAUGUCCACCAGCUGCGCCCCGAAGGUCUGCGGGAAGGAGGAGACGGCGAUGGCGUCGAAGCAGCUGUUGAGCUUGUCGCUCCGGCUCAGCUGCGGCUGGUCCAGGCUGUCCCAGAUGUCCUCCACCCGCAUCCCGAUCUCCGCCUCCGGGCUCCACCGCGCGCUCAGCGGCGUCUCCGCCACCGCCGACGCUGCAUCCUCCUCCUCCCGCUGCUCCGGCUUCGUCCGGAUCUCCCGCCUCGCCUGCAUGGCUCCCCUGUCUCCUCUCCUCUGUCGGAAGCCUCUGCUCCGCUGCCUUGCACACUGCCACUACUCUGCUCUUCUUGGCGACCACCCGUGACCUUGCGUUGCUUGGUCGCUUCCUCGGCCCGACAAUGGUGGCGCGAGCGAGCUGCCCGAAGGUUUCGCGCCAGAACCACAGGGGACGCUGACAAGUGGUUCGCCGCCCGGCAGCUGAGCUCUCAGACAUGCACCAAAAUUCCAGCAAAAAAAAAAACGGAGUUCCCCUCUGGACGACAACGGGCCGAAAUUUCUAAGCGGGCUUUGGAACGGGCCUAG
rnacentral:rRNA from 1 species